UCUCAACUUGGAUUCCGUGAGGAGGACCUUGGAAAGUUUUAACAUAAGCAUAAGGGAUUCGCAAAUCUUCCAGACGUAGAGCACGCGAGGCCUUGAACCCAAAUACAUUACCUACAAUGGAGGUAAACAUGUUAGUAACAGAACCUUCUUCAAAAAGGUCUAAGGGAUAAGCUACAUAAGCAAUAAAUUGAUUAUCUUCUCCAGGAACAGGCUCGAACUCGUAGCAGCGUCCUUUAUAACGAUCGAGGCUCGUAAGUCCAUCGGUCCACACAGUUGUCCAUGUACCAGUGGAAGAUUCUGCAGCUACCGCUGCACCUGCUUCUUCAGGCGGAACUCCAGGUUGAAACCUUGGAAAGUUUUAACAUAAGCAUAAGGGAUUCGCAAAUCUUCCAGACGUAGAGCACGCAAGGCCUUGAACCCAAAUACAUUACCUACAAUGGAGGUAAACAUGUUAGUAACAGAACCUUCUUCAGAAAGGUCUAAGGGAUAAGCUACAUAAGCAAUAAAUUGAUUAUCUUCUCCAGGAACAGGCUCGAUCUCGUAGCAGCGUCCUUUAUAACGAUCGAGGCUCGUAAGUCCAUCGGUCCACACAGUUGUCCAUGGACCAGUGGAAGAUUCUGCAGCUACCGCUGCACCUGCUUCUUCAGGCGGAACUCCAGGUUGAGGAGUUACUCGGAAUGCUGCCAAGAUAUCAGUAUCUUUGGUUUGAUAGUCAGGAGUAUAAUAAGUCAGUUUAUAAUCUUUAACACCAGCUUUGAACCCAACCUUUGCUUUCGUUUCUGUUUGUGGUGACAUAAAUCUCCCCCUACAACGCAUGAAUUAAGAAUUAUAGCAACAACAACAAGGUCUACUCGACAUAACUUGGAUUCCGUGAGGAGGACCUUGGAAAGUUUUAACAUAAGCAUAAGGGAUUCGCAAAUCUUCCAGACGUAGAGCACGCAAGGCCUUGAACCCAAAUACAUUACCUACAAUGGAGGUAAACAUGUUGGUAACAGAACCUUCUUCAAAAAGGUCUAAGGGAUAAGCUACAUAAGCAAUAAAUUGAUUAUCUUCUCCAGGAACAGGCUCGAUCUCGUAGCAGCGUCCUUUAUAACGAUCGAGGCUCGUAAGUCCAUCAGUCCACACAGUUGUCCAUGUACCAGUGGAAGAUUCUGCAGCUACCGCUGCACCUGCUUCUUCAGGCGGAACUCCAGGUUGAGGAGUUACUCGGAAUGCUGCCAAGAUAUCAGUAUCUUUGGUUUGAUAGGCAGGAGUAUAAUAAGUCAAUUUAUAAUCUUUAACACCAGCUUUGAA
rnacentral:lncRNA from 1 species